UACGUAGGUGGCAAGCGUUGUUCGGAUUUACUGGGCGUAAAGGGCGCGUAGGCGGUCAGCACAAGUCAGUUGUGAAAUCUCCGGGCUUAACUCGGAAAGGUCAACUGAUACUGUGCGACUAGAGUGCAGAAGGGGCAACUGGAAUUCUCGGUGUAGCGGUGAAAUGCGUAGAUAUCGAGAGGAACACCUGCGGCGAAGGCGGGUUGCUGGGCUGACACUGACGCUGAGGCGCGAAAGCCAGGGGAGCGAACGGG
rnacentral:rRNA from 1 species